rnacentral:rRNA from 1 species
AGAGUGAACGCUGGCGGUAGGCCUAACACAUGCAAGUCGAACGGCAGCACAGUGGUAGCAAUACCAUGGGUGGCGAGUGGCGGACGGGUGAGGAAUACAUCGGAAUCUACCUUUUCGUGGGGGAUAACGUAGGGAAACUUACGCUAAUACCGCAUACGCCCUUCGGGGGAAAGCCGGGGAUCGCAAGACCUGGCGCGGAUAGAUGAGCCGAUGUCGGAUUAGCUAGUUGGUGAGGUAAUGGCUCACCAAGGCGACGAUCCGUAGCUGGUCUGAGAGGAUGAUCAGCCACACUGGAACUGAGACACGGUCCAGACUCCGUACGGGAGCAGCAGUGGGGAAUA